rnacentral:rRNA from 1 species
UACGUAGGGGGCAAGCGUUGUCCGGAAUUACUGGGCGUAAAGGGCUCGUAGGCGGCCAACUAAGUCGGAUGUGAAAUCCCCAGGCUCAACUUGGGAACUGCAUCCGAUACUGGAUGGCUUGAAUUCGGGAGAGGGAUGCAGAAUUCCAGGUGUAGCGGUGAAAUGCGUAGAUAUCUGGAGGAAUACCGGUGGCGAAGGCGGCAUCCUGGACCGACAUUGACGCUGAGGAGCGAAAGCGUGGGGAGCAAACAGG